rnacentral:rRNA from 1 species
AGAGUUUGAUCCUGGCUCAGGAUUAACGCCGGCGGCAUGCCUAACACAUGCAAGUCGAGUGCACUUCGGGUGCACGGCAGACGGCUGAGUAACGCGUGGGAACAUACCCUUGGGUCGAGCAUAACCUGCCGAAAGGCAGGAUAAUUCUCGAUAGUCUCAGCACUUAUUUCAGUGGAUUAAUUUUUAGUCUGUUGAAAUAAGUGCUGAGUAAAGAUUUAUCGCCCAAGGAGUGGCCUGCGUUCGAUUAGCUAGUUGGUAGGGUAAUGGCCUACCAAGGCUGUGAUCGAUAGUUGGUCUGAGAGGAUGACCAGCCAGACUGGGACUGAGACACGGCCCAGACUCCUACGGGAGGCAGCAGUGAGGAAUUUUGCGCAAUGGACGAAAGUCUGACGCAGCAAUGCCGCGUGAGGGAUGAAGGUCUUCGGAUUGUAAACCUCUUUUUUAUGGGAAGAUUAUGACGGUACCGUAAGAAUAAGAGCCUGCUAACUACGUGCCAGCAGCAGCGGUAAUACGUAGGGCUCGAGCGUUAUCCGGAUUUAUUGGGCGUAGAGCGCUCGUAGGCGGACCAGUAGGUCGAACAUUAAAGACUCCGGCUCAACCGGAGAAGGGUGUUCGAAACCGCUGAUCUUGAGAAUGGUAGAGGCAGAUGGAAUUCUCGGUGUAGGGGUAAUAUCCGUAGAUAUCGAGAAGAACACCAAAGGCGAAGGCAGUCUGCUGGGCCAUUUCUGACGCUAAGGAGCGAAAGCGUGGGGAGCGAACGGGAUUAGAUAAAUCCGUCACCGCUCAUUAAAUAUAGUGACGAAGGGUGUCCCUCUCGGCGGCGACGUCGAGAUGAGCAUUCAGCUGUAUCGGGGAAACUCCAUUACAUUCGGGUUACCGGCCCGUGAUGGACAAUCCCGAGGGAAGUCGUACGCGCGUAGCGUGUAUUGACCCCGUAGAGACUAUGAAGUUGACUGUGACAGAGGGUAUAGCAAUUAAUUGCAAAAUUAUGAGGCAAAUCAUACCCUUGUCUGAAACGGCUCGAGCGAUUAUUUUCGGCUCGAUAUUAGGUGAUGGAUCGUUAAAAGUCCAUCGGACCUAUGUGAAUGCCCGUUUUUCGUUUCGCCAUUCCGAAAAACAGAAGAGCUACUUUGAUUGGAAAGUAAAACAAUUGAAUGAAAUCUCUUCU